ACUCCUACGGGAGGCAGCAGUAGGGAAUCUUCCACAAUGGCGCAAGCCUGAUGGAGCAACACCGCGUGAGUGAAGAAGGGUUCGGCUCGUAAAGCUCUGUUGUUAAAGAAGAACACGUAUGAGAGUAACUGUUCAUACGUUGACGGUAUUUAACCAGAAAGUCACGGCUAACUACGUGCCAGCAGCCGCGGUAAUACGUAGGUGGCAAGCGUUAUCCGGAUUUAUUGGGCGUAAAGAGAGUGCAGGCGGUUUUCUAAGUCUGAUGUGAAAGCCUUCGGCUUAACCGGAGAAGUGCAUCGGAAACUGGAUAACUUGAGUGCAGAAGAGGGUAGUGGAACUCCAUGUGUAGCGGUGGAAUGCGUAGAUAUAUGGAAGAACACCAGUGGCGAAGGCGGCUACCUGGUCUGCAACUGACGCUGAGACUCGAAAGCAUGGGUAGCGAACAGGAUUAGAUACCCUGGUAGGAUAGCG
rnacentral:rRNA from 1 species